rnacentral:rRNA from 1 species
UGGGCUCGGCAUCUUUUUGUUUUUAAGACCUUCUUACGAAGGUAUGCUUAAAGAGGGGCUUGCGCCACAUUAGUUAGUUGGUAGGGUAAAAGCCUACCAAGACGAUGAUGUGUAGCUGGACUGAGAGGUUGAACAGCCACAUUGGGACUGAGACACGGCCCAAACUCCUACGGGAGGCAGCAGUAGGGAAUUUUCGGCAAUGGAGGAAACUCUGACCGAGCAACGCCGCGUGAACGAUGAAGUAUUUCGGUAUGUAAAGUUCUUUUAUUGAAGAAGAAAAAGUAGUGGAAAAACUAUAUUGACGUUAUUCAAUGAAUAAGCCCCGGCUAACUAUGUGCCAGCAGCCGCGGUAAGACAUAGGGGGCGAGCGUUAUCCGGAAUUAUUGGGCGUAAAGGGUGCGUAGGCUGUUAGAUAAGUCUAUAAUUUAAUUUCAGUGCUUAACGCUGUCUUGUUAUAGAAACUGUCUUGACUAGAGUGAGAUAGAGGCAAGCGGAAUUCCAUGUGUAGCGGUAAAAUGUGUAAAUAUAUGGAGGAACACCAGAAGCGUAGGCGGCUUGCUGGGUCUUUACUGACGCUGAGGCACGAAAGCGUGGGUAGCAAACAGGAUUAGAUACCCUGGUAGUCCACGCCGUAAACGAUGAGUACUAAGUGUCGGGGUAAAACUCGGUACUGAAGUUAACACAUUAAGUACUCCGCCUGAGUAGUACGUACGCAAGUAUGAAACUUAAAGGAAUUGACGGGACUCCGCACAAGCGGUGGAUCAUGUUGUUUAAUUCGAAGAUACACGAAAAAUCUUACCAGGUCUUGACAUACUCUGCAAAGCUAUAGAAAUAUAGUGGAGGUUAUCAGGGAUACAGGUGGUGCAUGGUUGUCGUCAGUUCGUGUCGUGAGAUGUUAGGUUAAGUCCUAAAACGAGCGCAACCCUUGUCGUUAAUUGCCAGCACGUAAUGGUGGGGACUUUAGCGAGACUGCCAAUUAAACAUUGGAGGAAGGUGAGGAUUACGUCAAAUCAUCAUGCCCCUUAUGAUCUGGGCUACAAACGUGAUACAAUGGCUGUGACAAAGAGUAGCUGAAACGCGAGUUUUUAGCCAAUCUCAAAAAAGCAGUCUCAGUUCGGAUUGAAGUCUGUAACUCGACUUCAUGAAGUUGGAAUCGCUAGUAAUCGCGAAUCAGCAGUCGCGAAUACCCCGACUA